rnacentral:rRNA from 1 species
AUUGAACGCUGGCGGCAGGCCUAACACAUGCAAGUCGAGCGGGGUGAUGGUGCUUGCACUAUCACUUAGCGGCGGACGGGUGAGUAAUGCUUAGGAAUCUGCCUAUUAGUGGGGGACAACAUCUCGAAAGGGAUGCUAAUACCGCAUACGUCCUACGGGAGAAAGCAGGGGAUCACUUGUGACCUUGCGCUAAUAGAUGAGCCUAAGUCGGAUUAGCUAGUUGGUGGGGUAAAGGCCUACCAAGGCGACGAUCUGUAGCGGGUCUGAGAGGGUGAUCCGCCACACUGGGACGGAGACACGGCCCAGAAUCCUACGGGAGGCAGCAGUGGGGAAUAUUGGAAAAUGGGGGGAACCCUGAUCCAGCCAUGCCGCGUGUGUGAAGAAGGCCUUAUGGUUGUAAAGCACUUUAAGCGAGGAGGAGGCUCUUUUGGUUAAUACCCAAGAUGAGUGGACGUUACUCGCAGAAUAAGCACCGGCUAACUCUGUGCCAGCCGCCGCUGUAA